GCCUGAAAGGGCGACGGUGCUGAGCCGGAGCGAGAAGUCAGCAGAGGCCGCAGUAGCUGCUGGUUUGGGGCGAAGGGC
rnacentral:ncRNA from 1 species